rnacentral:rRNA from 1 species
GCAUGCGCGCGGGAAUUCGAUUUUAAGCAUGCGAGUCAAAUGUCUCGUGAACAUGGCGUACUGCUCAGUAACACGUGGAUAACCUGCCCUUAGGACUGGCAUAACCCCGGGAAACUGGGGACAAUUCCGGAUAGUUCAUGGUAGCUGGAAUGCUCCAUGAUCGAAAGCUAUUGCGCCUAAGGAUGGGUCUGCGGUCUAUCAGGUAGUAGUGGGUGUAAUGUACCUACUAGCCGACGACGGAUACGGGUUGUGGGAGCAAGAGCCCGGAGAUGGAUUCUGAGACAUGAAUCCAGGCCCUACGGGGCGCAGCAGGCGCGAAAACUUUACAAUGCGGGAAACCGCGAUAAGGGGACACCGAGUGCCAGCAUCUUAUGUUGGCUGUCCGCAUGUAUAAAUCACAUGUGUUAGCAAGGGCCGGGCAAGACCGGUGCCAGCCGCCGCGGUAACACCGGCGGCCCGAGUGGUGGCCACUAUUAUUGGGUCUAAAGGGUCCGUAGCCGGUUUGGUCAGUCUUCCGGGAAAUCUGACGGCUUAACCGUUAGGCUUUCGGGGGAUACUACCAGGCUUGGGACCGGGAGAGGUAAGAGGUACUACGGGGGUAGGAGUGAAAUCUUGUAAUCCUCGUGGGACCACCAGUGGCGAAGGCGUCUUACCAGAACGAGUCCGACGGUGAGGGACGAAAGCUGGGGGCACGAACCGGAUUAGAUACCCGGGUAGUCCCAGCCGUAAACUAUGCUCGCUAGGUGUCAGGGACGGUGCGACCGUUUCUGGUGCCGCAGGGAAGCCGUGAAGCGAGCCACCUGGGAAGUACGGUCGCAAGGCUGAAACUUAAAGGAAUUGGCGGGGGAGCACUACAACGGGUGGAGCCUGCGGUUUAAUUGGACUCAACGCCGGAAAACUCACCGGGGGCGACAGCAAUAUGUAGGUCAAGCUAAAGACUUAGUA